GGGGAGCUUGCUCCCCGGAUUAGUGGCGAACGGGUGAGUAACACGUGAGCAACCUGCCCCUAACUCUGGGAUAACGCUUCGAAAGGAGUGCUAAUACCGGAUACCAGCACGGAGGACAUCCUCUGUGCUUGAAAGUUUUUCGGUUAGGGAUGGGCUCGCGGCCUAUCAGCUUGUUGGUGAGGUAAAAGCUCACCAAGGCGACGACGGGUAUCCGGCCUGAGAGGGCGACCGGACACACUGGGACUGAGACACGGCCCAGACUCCUACGGGAGGCAGCAGUGGGGAAUAUUGCGCAAUGGGCGAAAGCCUGACGCAGCGACGCCGCGUGAGGGAUGAAGGUCUUCGGAUUGUAAACCUCUUUCAGCAGGGACGAAGCGAAAGUG
rnacentral:rRNA from 1 species